rnacentral:rRNA from 1 species
ACAUGCAAGUCGAACGCGCAGCAGAGAGGUGCUUGCACCUUUCAAGCGAGUGGCGAACGGGUGAGUAACACGUGGAUAACCUGCCUCAAGGCUGGGGAUAACAUUUGGAAACAGAUGCUAAUACCGAAUAAAACUUAGUAUCGCAUGAUAUCAAGUUAAAAGGCGCUACGGCGUCACCUAGAGAUGGAUCCGCGGUGCAUUAGUUAGUUGGUGGGGUAAAGGCUUACCAAGACAAUGAUGCAUAGCCGAGUUGAGAGACUGAUCGGCCACAUUGGGACUGAGACACGGCCCAAACUCCUACGGGAGGCUGCAGUAGGGAAUCUUCCACAAUGGGCGCAAGCCUGAUGGAGCAACGCCGCGUGUGUGAUGAAGGCUUUCGGGUCGUAAAGCACUGUUGUAUGGGAAGAAAUGCUAAAAUAGGGAAUGAUUUUAGUUUGACGGUACCAUACCAGAAAGGGACGGCUAAAUACGUGCCAGCAGCCGCGGUAAUACGUAUGUCCCGAGCGUUAUCCGGAUUUAUUGGGCGUAAAGCGAGCGCAGACGGUUGAUUAAGUCUGAUGUGAAAGCCCGGAGCUCAACUCCGGAAUGGCAUUGGAAACUGGUUAACUUGAGUGUUGUAGAGGUAAGUGGAACUCCAUGUGUAGCGGUGGAAUGCGUAAUAUAUGGAAGAACACCAGUGGCGAAGGCGGGCUUACUGGACAACCAACUGACGUUGAGGCUCGAAAGUGUGGGUAGCAAACAGGAUUAGAUACCUUGGUAGUCCACACGUAACGAUGAAUACUAGGUGUUAGGAGGUUUCCGCCUCUUAGUGCCGAAGCUAACGCAUUAAGUAUUCCGCCUGGGGAGUACGACCGCAAGGUUGAAACUCAAAGGAAUUGACGGGGACCCGCACAAGCGGUGGAGCAUGUGGUGUAAUUCGAAGCAACGCGAAGAACCUUACCAGGUCUUGACAUCCUUUGAAGCUUUUAGAGAUAGAAGUGUUCUCUUCGGAGACAAAGUGACAGGUGGUGCAUGGUCGUCGUCAGCUCGUGUCGUGAGAUGUUGGGUUAAGUCCCGCAACGAGCGCAACCCUUAUUGUUAGUUGCCAGCAUUCAGUUGGGCACUCUAGCGAGACUGCCGGUGACAAACCGGAGGAAGGCGGGGACGACGUCAGAUCAUCAUGCCCCUUAUGACCUGGGCUACACACGUGCUACAAUGGCGUAUACAACGAGUUGCCAACCUGCGAAGGUGAGCUAAUCUCUUAAAGUACGUCUCAGUUCGGACUGCAGUCUGCAACUCGACUGCACGAAGUCGGAAUCGCUAGUAAUCGCGGAUCAGCACGCCGCGGUGAAUACGUUCCCGGGUCUUGUACACACCGCCCGUCACACCAUGGGAGUUUGUAAUGCCCAAAGCCGGUGGCCUAACCUUCGGGAGGGAGCCGUCUAAGGCAGGACAGAUGACUGGGGUGAAGUCGUAACAAGGUAGCCGUAGGAGAACCUGCGGUUGGAUACCCUCCUU